rnacentral:rRNA from 1 species
UACGUAGGGAGCAAGCGUUGUCCGGAAUCAUUGGGCGUAAAGCGCACGUAGGCGGCCUGUUAAGUCGGAUGUGAAAGCCCUGGGCUCAACCCAGGAAGUGCAUACGAAACUGGCAGGCUUGAAUAUGGAAGAGGGUCGCGGAAUUCCCGGGUGUAGAGGUGAAAUUCGUAGAUAUCGGGAGGAACACCAGUGGCGAAGGCGGCGACCUGGGCCAAUAUUGACGCUGAGGUGCGAAAGCGUGGGGAGCAAACAGG